GACGAACGCUGGCGGCGUGCUUAACACAUGCGAGUCGAACGGAAAGGCCCUGCUUUUGUGGGGUGCUCGAGUGGCGAACGGGUGAGUAACACGUGAGUAACCUGCCCUUGACUUUGGGAUAACUUCAGGAAACUGGGGCUAAUACCGGAUAGGAGCUCCUGCUGCAUGGGGGGGGUUGGAAAGUUUCGGCGGUUGGGGAUGGACUCGCGGCUUAUCAGCUUGUUGGUGGGGUAGUGGCUUACCAAGGCUUUGACGGGUAGCCGGCCUGAGAGGGUGACCGGCCACAUUGGGCCUGAGAUGCGGCCCAGCCUCCUACGGGAGGCAGCAGUGGGGAAUAUUGCACAAUGGGCGGAAGCCUGAUGCAGCAACGCCGCGUGCGGGAUGACGGCCUUCGGGUUGUAAACCGCUUUCGCCUGUGACGAAGCGUGAGUGACGGUAAUGGGUAAAGAAGCACCGGCUAACUACGUG
rnacentral:rRNA from 1 species